GUCAGGAUGGUUUAACGGUAAGAAUUCCAACGGCUUGGAUAGCAGCUUCAACUCUGACAGAAGUGAGGCGUUCAGCCAGGAGGUGCUUGGUUCGAGUCCAGCUCCUGACC